AAUCAAUGCUAAUAUCUAAUAUCAAUUAAUUCUAGUUAAAAACAAACAUGAAAAAAUUGAAAGGGGAUUAGGUUAAAUGUAUUGUGACCUUUGGGCUUAUCUGAAUGAAUCUUCUUCUUCGACGUGAACUUCGACGGCCGCGCUUCCUUCUCCGGCAACAAACCUCCAUCAUCUCCAAUCAAAAGCCGCCGCGAACCAAGAGAAGGACUCCGACCUUUCUCCCUCAUCGUCUCUCAUCUGGACUCUCUCUCUCUCGAUCUUCCUCGUUUUGAUGUUGCGAUUGGCGAAGUUGUUGAUCGCAGAUGCGGAUGAGCGAAGUAAUUUUUUUCUCGGAAAUUUCCGCGAGCAGUGGUGCGAAGUAGUUGCGUUGCCGAGGAAAAUCUCCGAUCAUAACUCAGUGAAUAUUGCGUCGAAGAUGAAUUUGCAGGGCUUUGUGUUCUGAAUCAUUGUUUUGGUGAUGAUGAUACAGGAUCGGUGCUAGUUCUUGAAGAUUCUCGAAGCUCGUAGUUGCGAAUUCUUGGAGGUUGAAGAGUGAUGAUGAAGCUUAUGGUGAAGAUGAAGAUGAUGCGUUAAGGAUUGUUGUCGAUAAUGAGAAAUUCAACUGAUGAAGAUAGUGAUCAUUGGAGGUCACUGAAUCGUGCGACGACUGAUGAAUGUUACGGAUCGAAACGUGAUUGAGGAGGUGGAGAAUUGAUUGAAGGAUUGACGAAGAUGGAUGAAGGUUGAGAUUAUGAGCAAGUGGUUCAAUGUUUCUGUUGAAGCGUUGGUGAUGAUUGAAAAAGGUUGAAGAGCUUUGGUGGUGAAGAGAGAAGAAAGUGAUGAAUUUGUGAAGAAGAUGAUGAAGACUGAAUGAAGCAGAGAUGAGGAUUUUGUUAUCAGGUUGAAUCAAGAGAGAGGGAAUUGAAGAGUGUGUGAAUCUGUGUUAAAGAUUUUCUGGUUUUUUUUUUAAUCGAUGAUGAAGAAGAGAGAAAGAUGAAGGUUCGAUUUUGUUCCCGGUUUUUUCUAGUGUAUUUGAGAUGCAGGAUUGGAUUGUAUGGAAGCUGAUCUUUUGUAAUGCCCUUUUUUGUGAUAAAUUGUAUUUUAUUUUUUUUAGAUGAAUGUAAUAGAAAUAUGAAAUAUAUCUGAUCAUUGAGUGGACUUUUUCUU